UUGUCUCGUUCAGGGAGGCCUCAUCAUCAUCAUCCAGCCAUCAGCUGCUACCAGUAACAGGAUUCAGUGCUUUUAUGUUUCCUGUCUGUCUCUUUUGUGUCUCUGUUGUUAUUGAUUUAUUUGAUUACUUAUUAUUGAUGAAUCUCACUGUGGCGUUAUUGUUUGCAUAUAAACGUACCACAAAUGAGACUACGAGCCCGUAUGUGUAAUAACUGCACCUGCUGCUUUGCUUUCAUUAACGUGAACGUGAACCUGAGUGAGACUCAUCUGUACGGACGGCAGAGUGAACUUUGACCUCAGCGCCUCCAUCUUGCCCAGGGCUCCUGCGUGUUCGGUCUGAAGCUGCUCGAGCCGCUGCCUGCAGUCCUUCUGCUCCGCCUGCAGCUGCUGGCACUUCUCUGUGAGCUGCUCCACCACCUGAUGGAGAGAGUUGGCCCCGCAGGGCGGCAUUCUCCUCCAUCAGGAUCUGCACCUGCUCCGACAGCUGCCCCACGCGAGCUUUCACCUCCGCGUUCUCCUGCAGCGCCAGCCUGGUCGUCUCCGGGACUUUCUGGUCCACCAGGAGCUGCACCUCUGCUGCCAUGGCUGCAGCGUGAGACUCCAUCUCCCUCUCCAAUCUUUGGCAGGACACAAGACAAAGGAGGAAAAGUCAGAGCGUACUUUAGGUGGAUAAUUCAGGUUCAGAGCUUCAAAGGAACACGACCCUUGGUGGGACGAGGAUGACAUAAAGGAAAAAACAUUAGUGCUACAGAGGCAGGAUCAACAUGUCGUCCUGAAGACAAGCUGCGAGUUGCUGCGAUGACACGGAUUUGUUUACAGUCUGAACUUAAACUACUUUCUACGAGUGGACUCGACCCGGGUAAUGGAACGAGUCUGUGCUGUGAUUUUUAAAGUGGAUUCCACCUCCUCU